CCUACGGGUGGCUGCAGUGGGGAAUAUUGGACAAUGGGGGCAACCCUGAUCCAGCGACGCCGCGUGUGUGAAGAAGGCCUGCGGGUUGUAAAGCACUUUUAGUGGGGAUGAAAAGCACAUCACUAACACUGGUGUGUCUUGACCUAACCCAAAGAAAAAGCACCGGCUAACUCUGUGCCAGCAGCCGCGGUAAUACAGAGGGUGCGAGCGUUAAUCGGAAUUACUGGGCGUAAAGCGUGCGUAGACGGUUAUUUAAGUCGGGUGUGAAAGCCCCG
rnacentral:rRNA from 1 species